rnacentral:rRNA from 1 species
AUUGAACGCUGGCGGAAUGCUUUACACAUGCAGGUCGAACGGCAGCACGGACUUCGGUCUGGUGGCGAGUGGCGAACGGGUGAGUAAUAUAUCGGAACGUGCCCAGUCGUGGGGGAUAACGUAGUGAAAAUUACGCUAAUACCGCAUACGAUCUACGGAUGAAAGCGGGGGAUCGCAAGACCUCGCGCGAUUGGAGCGGCCGAUAUCAGAUUAGGUAGUUGGUGAGGUAAAGGCUCACCAAGCCAACGAUCUGUAGCUGGUCUGAGAGGACGACCAGCCACACUGGGACUGAGACACGGCCCAGACGCCUACGGGAGGCAGCAGUGGGGAAUUUUGGACAAUGGACGCAAGUCUGAUCCAGCCAUUCCGCGUGCAGGACGAAGGCCUUCGGGUUGUAAACUGCUUUUGUACAGAACGAAAAGGUCUUUAUUAAUACUAGGGGCUCAUGACGGUACUGUAAGAAUAAGCACCGGUUAACUACGUGCCAGCAGCCGCCGUAA